AUGAUUCAGUCCAUGAUUAUUAAUAUCUCUAAGCUUUUGCUCAUGCUAUCCUCUCCCUUCCUGGAAAACCCUCCCACCUCAAGGGUUACUUCCUCCAAGAAACAUUCCUGGAUCUCCCAGCUGCUGGCUCCUAGAGCACUCUGGGCAAACCUCUACCUUAUCACCGCCACCACCACCAUGUAUCAAAAUUAUGACCCAUUUCACCCACUUAUUAAUAAGCUUCAAGAAGCCAAAGAUUUUCUCCUUCUAAUCCUUAUCUUACUGCCAUCUAGCCCAAUGUUUGGUAAUCGCAUGCAAUCGCAUAAAUGUUUGUCAGAUAGAAUGAUCUAUUCAGAAGUUUCUGGAAGUGUUAUUCUUUCCACAGAGGGCCUGGUUUAUUCAGUUUGUGUUCCUAGGAGGAACUGCCAAAACUGUCCUGAGGUCUCAUUCCUCAGGACAACCAGCAUGAACAAACAUCCCACCCCAACUUUCUUCAUGGCUGAAGGAAGGAGCAGGACCAGAUGUUCUCGAGGGUCCCUUAGUGCUCCAGGAUCCUUAGGUUCCAGGGAAUUCCCCAUCAGAAUAAAAUUGUUGGGAGCAGAAGAGGCCAGUAUGGCCUCUUCUCAGCAGGUCUCUAGAUGGACCCCAACCUCUGGAAGGGCUGGGCCAAGGAAAAGAAUUCGCCACUUCAGGGUCUCACACCUUCCUCUCCUCCAGCACAUUUCUCUCUCCCUUUGCCUCACCUUCACUUUUGCUGCUUCCUCUCUGCCAGCCUCUUCCCUUCUCUUUCUUUCUUAUCUGUUUCUCUUCUCCUACCGGCCCAACCGCACCUUCCCAGUAUCGCUGCUGCCUUUUCACUCUCUCACUCACUUCUGCGUCUCGCCAGUCAGAUUCACCAUCCUUCUACAGUCCCCUGCAUUUAUACUGCUUGCCUCCCACAUCCGAACGUCUUGCUCGCUUUCUCCCUCUUCUCUAUAUCCCGCGAGUAAGAGCCUCCUCUGGACGCCAAGACAGGAGGGGCUGCCCUGGGUCAUGGCACCGCCCCGCGGUGGGUGUGUGUGA
rnacentral:lncRNA from 1 species